AACCUCCAGGUGUGAAGGGAAGAACUCUCAUUCUCCUUGAUGUCAACACCAAGAGCCCUGUCAGGAUAAUCAGUGAGAAUUUCCUCUCCCUGCAGCUGGACCCCUCCAUCAUUCAUGAUGGCUGGCUCGAUUUCUUAAGGUAAGGCAGGAGCCCCCCGGCGCCCUCCCCACGCCGCCCGCGGGGCGCCCCGGCGGCCCCGCCGCCCAGCCCUGCCGGGCUCCGCGCUGCUGGCGGCGCUUGUUGUGACGGAGGGAGCGAGGCCAUGGUUUCCAUUAAGAUGCACAUGUUUGCAAUGGAGAAAGCAUUUCGGAGACUUAUCAGUUAUGACUGCAAAAAUGUCGUGCUCCCCUCGCUCCAGCAACCGCUCCUCUGCAAAAAGCACAACACGGGGCCGAGGCAGCACAGGGGGAAAAAAAAAAAUCAAAAUUGAACAAAAAAACAGCAGCAGGAAUGGGGCCGCCUGCCGAGCCGAGCCGAGCCUUCCCCGGGUCCCGACGGGCAGAGAGCGGGUGUCGGCCAGGUCUUCUGAGCCCUCCGCUCCCCGGACUUCCAGCCGUGCGCGGGGGGCAGAGCCGGGCUGCAGCUGCGCUGGGUUCCACCGGCGGUGCGGAGCGGCCGCGGCCUGGAGGCGCUGGGACGGCCAGAAAGCCUUCUCCCUGCUGGGUAAGUCGGGGAGGGAGAGCGGGUCUCCUCCGCACGCCCGCUCCGAGGGUCCUUUCGGCAGCCGGGGAAGGAGCGGGGCGAGGAUGCGGGAAGGCGCGAGAGAAGCGGAGCCGGGACGGCUCCCGCUUUCCUCCCCUCCCCGCUCCUCUCCCCUCCCCGGCGGCUCGGCCCGCGGCGCGGUCCCGCGUGGCGCUGAGCGCCUCUGCCUCCUGGACGCCGCUGCACUUGUCCGGAGGGCGCCGGCAGGACGGGGGGAGCCGGGCCCGCCGGCCUCCGGGCCGCCACCGGCGGGCGGGGCGGCUCCCGCUCCAGGGCCCGCCGCUCGGCCCGCGCGGAGCCCGCAGCCGCUGGCACCGCGUCGCGCUGCCCCGGGCGGGGCACCGGCGGGUCCCCGAGCCCCGUGGUCCCCGGUCGCUGGCGGUGUUGGGGAAGCGAGGGCCGGGCCCGCGGCUUCCUCAGCCCUCUCUCUGCUCUCCCCAGCUCCCGGCGGCUGGUGACCCUGGCGCGGGGCCUGGCCCCCGCCUUCCUGCGCUUCGCGGGCAAGAGGACGGACUUUUUGCAGUUCCACAACGUGAAGAACCCGGCCAAGAGCCGCGGCGGGCCCGGCCCCGACUACUACCUCAAGAACUACGAGGACGGUCUCUAGACAAACUCUAUAACUUUGCUGACUGCUCUGGCCUUCACCUGAUCUUUGCACUGAAUGCUUUGCGUCGAAAUCCCAACAACUCCUGGAACAGCUCCAACGCCCUCAGCCUGCUGAAGUACAGUGCCAGCAAGAAGUACAACAUCUCCUGGGAGCUGGGCAACGAGCCCAAUAACUAUCGGACACUGGUCGGCCGCUCGGUGAAUGGCAGCCAGCUGGGAAAGGACUACACCCAGCUGAGAAGCCUGCUGCAGCUUAUCCGCACUUAUUCCAGAGCACACCUCUAUGGGCCCAACAUUGGAAGGCCCAGAAAGAAUGUUGUUGCUUUCUUGGAAGGGUUCAUGAAAGUGGCCGGCGGCACGGUGGAUGCUGUUACCUGGCAACAUUACUACAUUGACGGUCGAGUGGCCAAGGUGACAGACUUCCUGAAAACACGCCUGUUGGACACACUGUCAGACCAGAUCAGGAAAAUCCAGAAGGUAGUGAACACGUACACACCAGGGAAGAAGAUCUGGCUGGAAGGUGUUGGCAUGACCUCAGCCGGAGGCAUGAACAACCUCUCCGAUUCAUAUGCAGCCGGGUUCCUGUGGCUGAACACGCUGGGCUUGCUGGCCAGCCAGGGCAUCGACGUGGUGGUGCGCCAUUCCUUCCUCGACCAUGGCCACAACCACUUGGUGGACCAGAACUUCAACCCCUUGCCGGAAUUCCAGGUUAGCUCUGAGGAUUGUUGUAUCCGUGAAUGAGGAGACAUUUAAAGCAGCUAAACUCUGCUUGCUGUCACAGUGCGUUAAGGGGCCUUUCCCUCUUGGUGCACCAGAAAAAGGUCUCUGAAGUGCAUAUGCAUGGACUCUCAAAUGGAUCAAAGCCAUGCUGGAGCUAGCAGCUCUGGCACCCACCCACUGGAGCUGCAAGACAUGUGCAGAGCUGGAGCUGGACCAUUCCUCCUGCACUGGAGUCUGGGACAGAAACAAAAUCCAUCUGGGACCGGCAGCAGCAGCUUGGUCUUGGAAGGAUGGACACAGCCACGGCUCACAUCUCCAGAGGCACCAUGCUAGUGCUAAACCUGCCCAGCUUGGUCACAGAGCCAACCCAGGGCUGUGGAUGAGGUGGGACAGAAAGACCAUUCCCAGAGUGGAUUGGUGUUCUGGAAGAACAGGAAGCAAUAAAAUUGCAUUUGGUUUUCAAGCCCUCUGAUCUGGCAACUCCGCUCCCUUCCUGUAGCCUGCAUCGCUUGGACCCUGUUAGGGAGAGGUGAUGACAAAAGAGAGAUUGGGCUGUUCCUCCAUCUGCUCAGAUCCCAAGAAGUUGAGGAGGCCACUGGCUGGAGGCAGGCUGUGAUGGGCAGCAGGCAAGGGUCACAUCCUACUCAGCACUUUCCUGUUUCCUGGGCAGGCUGUCCCCUCAGUGCCACUGGUGCCUGGCAGCAAUUGCUGUGGCUGCCACUCCCACUGUAGGAAUUUUGCUGCAGACCACUUGCUUGAGGAGAAAGCUGCAGGAAGAUGUAAAGGCAUAAGGCAACGCAGGAAAGAGUGGUGUGAGAUGAAGUGUUUGCAGCCGUUAGAGCAGGAAGGAAGAGGAUCAGCAGAGUGAAAUCAACAGAUGCCCAGGCAGAGACGUCAGCAGCUUCAGGGGACUGGUGGUGGGGCACCUGCUGGGAUGUGGCCUCAGCAAAAGAGGGAUUGGCCAGAUCUGCUGACCUUUCAUGGGCGGUGGUGUCUGGAUCAGAGCAAAGGUCUGUCCUCCCCAGCAGGGACAGAGCAGAGGGAAGAGGCAAGGGGCCCCUUCGCCGCAGCAUCUCUGUGUGCUGCCUCCUCCUCCCCUGCUGCUGCCUCUGGCAGGCCAGUCCACUUGAAGCACCCUUGUUUGGGGCUAGAAGGAGCCUUGUUCCCCUUUCAUUGACCGUCUCUGGAGUGUCCCCUGUGGUGCUCACUCACAGACUCCCCAGUACAGCAGCAAAUGUUUUAGGAGACUGCUCCGUUCUCCACAACCUCCACACAAGGAGGGGGCACACACGAAACAGCAAACAGAUCAUGCCCCUGAGGGUGGGGGCAUGAGAGCUCAUGAAGGCAGCAUUAGUGUCUGAAGCUGAUGAUUUUGACUUCAGAAAAUGUUGUUCCCUUUGUGAUGAGGCUCUGCCCCACUCUGCUUGUCACAGGACCUUGCAAAGGGUUUGGCUGAGAAAACCUUGAACUCCCACUUAAGAAGCACAUAAAACUCAGGGAUAAUGUUAAAAGCAGCAUUAUCCAGCCUUGCUGGAGGAACAAGCAGCUAUGGCUUGAACAGGAUGUAAGGACCUCCGUGGGGAGAAAGCUUUGGAUGCUGAGUAUCUCUUUAAUCUAGUGGAAAAAGAAAGAACAAGAACCACUGGUUGGAAGCUGAAGCCAGACAAAUUCAAGACAAAAAUAAGGAGUGGGACUGUUAACAAUGUGGAUAUGUAACUGCUGGAACAGGCUCCCUGGGAAGUGGCAGCUUCUCCAUCCUUCCAAGCCUUCACAACCACAAUCAGUACUUUUCUGUAGGACACUUUUGUCAAAAACAAGCCAUCAGGCUCAACAAAGGGAUAAAAGAGCAAAGCCCUCUGUCCUGUGAUGUUCAGGCCAGCCAGCCCUUAUCUCCACACAGGUUGCUUGGACUGUGGAAAAAUGCAGGUGAAGGUGCAGGACUGGAGCUCUCUGUAACAGGCUGUUGAAACUCGAGCGUGCAUAAGGCACAGGGGAAGAACUUGGGCAGCUUCAGAAGCAGGAAGAAGCAAUAAAAAGUGGAAUAGGGUGAGCAGCAGCCAGCUGAUGCUGCUGGUGACUUGGGAACAUAAAGCCGUGCCCUGGCAGCCCCAGCCAGAGGAGGCUGUGCACCACGGGCUCACAGCCUACUUGUUUGAAAUUCAGCUGCCUUUGCUGGUUACAGUUCCCAGGAGACUGAAGGGCUAUGGCUCUUUUACUCUGGUUUUCUGGUUAUGGAAAUAUAUUAUCACAUGGGGAGAGCACAGAGCUGAACAAAUUCAGGUGGGCAGCAGAGCUGCUUUGCUGUCUCUAGGAGGGAGCACGGGGAUAACUCCUGCACUUCUCAUGGCUCUGCAGACUGGAGGGUCUGGAUAACAGCUCUGCCGCAGGGCCUGCCUAAUCAAUCUUGUUUCCAAAAGCUGAAGUCUCUAAAACUUCUGCAAUGAAGUAAACUGUGCCAAGAGAUCAAGUAGGACCCUCUGGGCUUUCCCUCUCUAGUGGAAAGCUUGUAUGUCUUCACUGGCCCCAUGGGGCUCAGAAGGUGAGGCUCCCUGAGCUCUGCACAUCAGCUCACUCAGCACAAGCUCCCCUCCUGCCCACAAAUCAGGGGUCCCAGACAGGAGACCUCCUGAGGCACAGGAAGGCUCUGCCUUCAGGUGCUCCUCACCUGCAGUACUGCUUGAUGGGUCUGCAAAGUAAUUAAUCCAAGACAGAUCCCUCGAUUCUUGUGGGACUAAUAACAAACCACAUUCCUCCCUGCUAUCCCUCCUCUACUGCUACAGCUGUAUUGCUGGCUCAGCCCCCACAACAAGAGUCUUCUGUGACUCCAAAAGACAAAUCCUUUCUGCAGUUGCACUGGUUGGAGCAACCUGUCUCCCUGGACAUGGCUGAGGCUGCCCCUGACAGGAUGUCCAGCACCACACUGCACGUCUUUGCAAGGGGACUACUGGCUGUCCCUGCUUUACAAGCGCCUCAUUGGUCCCAAGGUGCUGGCGAUCCACGUGGCCGGUCUCCAGAGG